rfam:Drosophila mojavensis strain TSC#15081-1352.22 Ctg01_11490, whole genome shotgun sequence.
AUAUCACAUAAUGAUGAAUGAUCUGGCGGAAGAGUUCAUUGAAGACUAUAUUCAUCACCCAAGACUGAAAAACGCU